AGUCGUAACAAGGUAUCCGUAGGUGAACCUGCGGAUGGAUCAUUAACAAAGGUGUUUUUGAAGUUGUGUGAACAGUUGGAGGUGGUGGUGGUGGUGGUAUUGGGUGGUACUGGGUGGUAUUGGGUGGUAUUGGGUGGUAUUGAGUGGUGUAACCUUGGUCUAACCUUGGUCAACCUCACUCAACCUCACUCUCCCAACCUCACUCUCCCAACCUCACUCUCCCAACCUCCACCACUCCGUCCCUAUAAUGUAUACAAACUGAUGUCUGCUAGUUUCAAACUAAAACAACUUUUAGCAACGGAUCUCUUGGCUCUC
rnacentral:misc_RNA from 1 species